GUGCCAGCAGCCGCGGUAAGACGAACCGUGCGAACGUUGUUCGGAAUCACUGGGCUUAAAGGGCGCGUAGGCGGGCCGGCCGGUCGGAGGUGAAAGCCCCCAGCUCAACUGGGGAAGCGCCCCCGAUACCGCCGGCCUGGAGGGGGGUAGGGGCGUGCGGAACUUCCGGUGGAGCGGUGAAAUGCGUAGAUAUCGGAAGGAACACCGGUGGCGAAGGCGGCACGCUGGGCCCGCCCUGACGCUGAGGCGCGAAAGCCAGGGGAGCGAACGGGAUUAGAUACCCCCGUAGUCC
rnacentral:rRNA from 1 species